CUUUCAGAAGAGCAGUGACCUUCUGCACACCUCCAUAAUAACUAAAUACUCUACAGUUAUGCACUGAGCGAGUAACAAUGGUCAAGCAUUCCAAAAUAUUCAAUCCCUCAGAGCUUAACAUCAGGUCUGACGAUUGUUCUGAAAUGCAUCAUGGUGUUCAUCAGAUCCACUUACUCUCAGUAAUGAAAGAAGUUAUUUGAGAAACCUCCUGCACAAGAAUAAGGAUGAUCUCAGAAGGAUGCCCUCUGGAGCAUCCUAAAACCGUAUCAUCUGAUAUUGGUUCUUGAUCAACUGAUUGCUCCGUGUAUUGCGGUUCCCACUCUUUGAAUGCUUGUACGAAAUGCAUGAUAAAUAUUUGCAAGGAUUCCUUCUUUUCAGCCU
rnacentral:sRNA from 1 species